GCAUUGCACAACACUCACAGAGAGGAUUCUCAAAGGCUUGAUGGAUGAAGAUGUAUAGUAGUGGGUACUGUUACUCUCCCUAUUUUUCAGAUGAAGAAGCUGAGGCUUGGAGAGAUUAAG